UGGGGAAUAUUGGACAAUGGGCGAAAGCCUGAUCCAGCCAUGCCGCGUGUGUGAAGAAGGUCUUCGGAUUGUAAAGCACUUUAAGUUGGGAGGAAGGGCAUUAACCUAAUACGUUAGUGUUUUGACGUUACCGACAGAAUAAGCACCGGCUAACUCUGUGCCAGCAGCCGCGGAAAUACAGAGGGGGCAAGCGUUAAUCGGAAUUACUGGGCGUAAAGCGCGCGUAGGUGGUUUGUUAAGUUGGAUGUGAAAUCCCCGGGCUCAACCUGGGAACUGCAUUCAAAACUGACUGACUAGAGUAUGGUAGAGGGUGGUGGAAUUUCCUGUGUAGCGGUGAAAUGCGUAGAUAUAGGAAGGAACACCAGUGGCGAAGGCGACCACCUGGACUAAUACUGACACUGAGGUGCGAAAGCGUGGGGAGCAAACA
rnacentral:rRNA from 1 species